UACGUAGGUGACCAGCGUUGUCCGGAUUUACUGGGCGUAAAGGGCGCGUAGGCGGCCACCGCAAGUCGACUGUGAAAUCUCCGGGCUUAACCCGGAAAGGUCAGCCGAUACUGCGGGGCUAGAGUGCAGAAGGGGCAACUGGAAUUCUCGGUGUAGCGGUGAAAUGCGUAGAUAUCGAGAGGAACACCUGCGGCGAAGGCGGGUUGCUGGGCUGACACUGACGCUGAUGCGCGAAAGCUAGGGUAGCAAACGGG
rnacentral:rRNA from 1 species